GUGCUCCUUGUCGGGCAGAGGCUCAAGCCGGGCGUUCCUAUUGGCUAGCUGGGAGGAGGUGGAGAGCCCUGAACCCGCCAGCUUGUGCCUGUGAGAUAAGCAGCGCCCGCCGGGAAAUGUAGUCCUCUGGCUGAGGAGCGCUGUCACUCUGAGGCGUGAGACAGAGCCUCGCUAUUUGCUCUUGUUGUCCUGGAACUUACAAUGCAGACAAGGCUGGCCUUAAACCCACAGAGAUUUGCCUGCCUCUGCCUCCUGAAUGCUUGGAUUAAAGGUAUCUUGACUGCCGGGUCCUCCUGCAAGGAGAAUGAGAUGGAACUUGAGGGAGAACGGCCAAGAGUCUGAACUCCAGGAGAUCGAGAUGUAGGACUCUCAGCUCCUUCUCCAGCAUCAUGUCUGCCUGCACACCUCUAAACCUCUGAAACUCUACCCAGGACUUGCUUGAAAACAUCACUGGGGGUUAUAAGAAGUACUUCGACUUGCAGAAAAGGUUUGACUCAACAAUGUUUUUCCUUCUGUCCCUGAAGAGAUGUUUUUAUCACAGGCUGUUAGUAAAGAGGCAACUGGAGUUGCCUCCAUCUGCCUGUCCUGGCAGCACACAAAUACUACUAUGCAAAAUGCCACCUGGAGACAGCAGCCAUGGCCCAUAAACUUAAUUACUAACCUUUAACUCAUAGCUGGCAGAAUCGAUUCUGGAAACGCCUGAGCUAAUCAGGCCUCUCUGACAAUGCUAAUCAAUUGUUCACCGUGUACCUUUGACUUAAUUACUCCUGCACUAUGUUGCUUUUUCAAAAUGUCAAGAAUUCUCAUCUGCAAAUGCAAUAAAUCAUUCCUCCAUGGUGCUGGUAGCACGCCCAUUCCUCCCCGGUAUCUAAUCUUGGCUUCGGGAAGUUGAACUUGAUCACUUACUGAAGGGCACCUUACAGAGACAGGCGUCUCAUUCAGCAUCCUAGCAUGGAGCUAAGCACAGAGAGCUUUUCAGGACCUCGUUCUUUUGCCUGAAGUCCAUCGGGGGCUGCAGGUCUGCCUUUAAAGGCUUCUGUGUCCAAACAGAACUUAGUGGAACAGAAGCACUCAGAGCAGUUUAGGUUUGCAAAAUCCAACCUUCACAUCAGAAAUCCAAUGAGUUUCUUGCUAUGAUUCAAAUCCCAACACGACAGCGUCUCCUCCUGCUGCUUCUCUCAAGUGAGACAGAAGUCAGCCACAAAUGCACUUCAAGAAGUCAGAGGGAAGAAGCAGCCCAGUGAUGGGGUUAAGGGUUGUUAGAGAUGGUCUUGGGGUAGAACUGUGAGGGUCUAGAUACUGUCUGCUGAUGAGGAGCAAGCAGUUUAACCUCUGUGAAUGCUUUUUAUGUGAGCCCUGACUAAAGCAAGCAACUAAUGCCUCUCUUCCUGGAACUCUGCAAAGAUCAACUUUGUACGCCUCCUAGUGGACAUGAUGCAAAUGUUUGGUGUCAUUUUUAGUGAUAACUGUAGGAAUGGUAUAUCCAGUGGACCCAGGCUGAGACUGGCACUAAAUAUUUUACACUGUACAUAUAAGACAGCUCUCCUGACAAAGAGUAAUCCAGUAUCAAGAGUGUAACAGUUGAAACAUGCUGUUGGAGCAAGGGGACAGCUCAGCCUAUAAAGUGCUUGCCACAAAACACGAAGAUUUGAGCUAAAUAAUUAC
rnacentral:lncRNA from 1 species